rnacentral:rRNA from 1 species
CCUACGGGAGGCAGCAGUAGGGAAUUUUCGUCAAUGGGCGCAAGCCUGAACGAGCGAUGCCGCGUGAGUGAAGAAGGCCUUCGGGUCGUAAAGCUCUGUUGCGGGGGAAAAAAGGCAGCAUCAGGAAAUGGGUGCUGACUGAUGGUGCCCCGCCAGAAAGUCACGACUAACUACGUGCCAGCAGCCGCGGUAAUACGUAGGUGGCGGGCGUUAUCCGGAAGGAUUGGGCGUAAAGGGUUCGCAGGCGGUCCUGCAAGUCUGGGGUGAAACGAAUGAGGUCAAAUCAGGGAUGGCUUUGGAAACUGGAGGACUGGAGAGCAGGAGAGGGCGGUGGUACUCCAUGUGUAGCGGUAAAAUGCGUAGAUAUAUGGAAGAACACCAGUGGCGAAGGCGGCCGCCUGGCCUGUUGCUGACGCUGAGGCACGAAAGCGUGGGGAGCAAAUAGGAUUAGAUACCCGUGUAGUC